UUAAUCCUCGCGCGUCUUCGAGGUCGUACGUUUACGCGACUGGUCAAGCGAGAGAAUAUUUUUUUUUUUUUCGGAAAAAGGGGGGAUACUUUUUGAUUUCGUUAUCACUUUUUGCAACAGUUCAAUCAAUUAACUACUUCUUCCAUAACCCUCCUUUGCAUUUUUUUUUUUCCUUUUUUUUUGUUCUUCCCUUCCUUUUUCUUCCAUCCACGUUCAAUAAAUUCUAUUUUCUUCACUCCGUUUAUAUUAUCUUUAUCGUGACUUAUAAGACCAUAUUGAUUAUCGAAAAAAGCAGAACACGUACGUAAGUUGGAUUUAAAAGAAAGUCGUUAAGAAAAAAAAAAUAAGGGAGAGACUUCGAGUUUUGAAGGAGCAAAAUUCUAAGAGGGGAGGAUGAUGAUGAUGAUGAUGAUACAUCUUUGCUGACUACUCCUACGGUCUUUUUACCGAUUUCCUGAUACAUAUAAGAAACACAAAAAAAAAAUAAAAAGAUCGAACAAACGGGACGAAGAAGUGAAUUCUAAUCACUGGUCUUAUCCGUAUAAAGGAGAAGAAAAUAACACACACAAGAAGCCCGGAGAAAAUGUAAUUAAAACUUUGAUAUAAAUAUAUAAUAAUAGACAAGGGGUUGUUGAUAAUGUAGCAAAAUGAGUAACAAUUAAAUUAACGUGUUGUAAUGUUCAUUUAAAAAAUUUAAUAAAGAGACAACUGGAAAGAAAACGAAAUGGUAUAAUGAAAUAAAAGAAGAAAGAUAUAAAAAUAUAUAAAAAUAAAAUAAGAAGUAGAAAAAUAAGAAAAAAAAGAUAAAGAUAAAGAUAAAGAGAAAGAGAAAGAAAGAGAGAGAGAGUGAGAGAAAGAAAAAUAGUGACACACGAAUGGGGGUGGAAAAGGACGAAAGGAAGGUUCGCGUCGUACGAGACGAGAUCGCAAUGAAAGUCAAUAAACCGUGAUGAGUAACCGUGGAGAGUAGUAGCGGUCAGAGAGUGGUAUUAAUAAAUUAGUGUCUACUUGCUGCUGCUGCUGCUGGAAGUAGAGGAGGUGCUGGAGGAGGUGGUGGUGGAGGAGGAAGAAGAGAAAGAGGAAGAGAAGACGAGGAGAUACAAGUGGUAGAAGCUUCGUUCGAAGUGGUGGAGGUGUUACGCGUUGUGUGUGCGUGCGUGCGAGCGCGCGCGCGCGCGCGUAUACCCAUACAUACGGGAUCAUACGAUUCCUGUAAUGGUGUACGUCGGUGUGACAGAAAAAGACAAUUGACUCGCAGCCGGCAGAGUCGAACGUCGGUGCUUGUCGGGGGCCUUCUGACGUCACAUCCUGCUACUCUGCUACUAUACUACUACUAUUACUACUGGUGCUGUUGCUGUUGCUGCUACUGUUGCUGCAGCUGCUGUUGUGACUUUGCUCUGGUGUUGAACGACAACGAGCCGCGAUCUCAUCUGGACCACGGCGCACGAAGCGAAUGAAGAAGGAUGACCAGACGCGAGAAGAGGAUCUUCGGGAUCCUUGUCUUGCUGAACAUCCUUGGAAAGGUUCCAGCGAAUCUAACAGCCUCCUCGGAAUCAGAAUCGAUCGAGGAGACGGUAGCAAUCACUACAACGAAGAAACCAAUACCAGAGAGAUGCCUAGAAAAGCAGGUUCAAGGACCUUGCAAGCAUUAUGUAUAUAAGUGGUCUUUUCAUAAAGCUGAGGGAAAAUGCAAGAUGUUUCCCUAUGGAAGUUGUUUAGGAAAUGAGAAUAGAUUCAAUUCUGAAGCUGAGUGUCUUCAUUAUUGUAUCGGUGGUCCUGAUCACACCCUACCACCUUACCUGGUAACAAAAGGAGGCGUAUUUGUAACAACGAGUAUUCCGACGAGUAGUACACCACCCAUAACUACAUCAAGUACUCCAAGACCUACGUUCACACCACCCGAACCAACAAGGCCACCAGUACCAAAGGAAGAACGAGGAAAGGAAUUGACAUUCAUGGAAUCAGGAUACGAGAAGACGUUCAUGUUUGCACAAAGUAACACGUUCAUUCAACUAGAUGGCAGUGGGAUAAAGACCUUCCAAUUGAGAUUAUGCCGUGAAAUAUCUUUCAAAUUUCGAACGAAAUUACCACACGGUUUGCUCGUUUACCACAGCGUGAAAGAUCGUCCAGAGGGUUUAGAACCUUACGCGCUUUACGUGAUAGUUGAGAAGGGUCAAUUGAAAGUAGUACACGUGUUUGGAAAAAUAUCAACGAGUAUUACCGUCGGUGAAGGACUUAACAGAGACGAGUGGCACAGUGUUCUGGUUAGAAUAGACGUUCACGGAGCUAAACUAAUCGCGAGGGUCGACGAAAAGCAAGCAGAGACUAGUUUGGAAGUUCUCGAACGUGUCGUCAAUUAUGGUGUUUCGGAAGAACUGGCAUCCGUUGUUCUUAUAGGAGGAUUAAGUUCAGAGGAGCGUCUACACGGAGUAAAAUAUAUCAUAGAAUCUUUUGUCGGUUGCAUCAGAGACAUGGUCCUCAGUUCCGGCAAGUCGGCAAGUGACUUGUUACCUAUUCGACCGUUAAUUGCAACAAAGCAUGAAAAUGUGAAGGAGGGUUGCAUCGACAAGUGCAGGACAAGGGAAAACCUUUGCUUUAUGGCCGACCAAUGUGUCAAUCAUUAUAACAGUCUGACAUGUGACUGUUUUGGAACGAAAUACGAGGGCGAGCGUUGUGACGUCUACACGGCCACGAUUUUAACGUUGAGGGGAUCUUCGUACGUGUCCUUUCGAGUUUACGAUUGGAAAGACCGUGUUCAUUCCUCCGUUAACAGGAUCAGCUUGGCUUUCAAGACUAAAUUCGACGACUCGGCAUUAUUUUAUGCAUCUGGUGAGAUAGAUGGUACACCGCAUUACAUAGCAGCAUCCAUUUUGAACGAUUCGGUUGUCGUUGAAUUAGACUUUGGUCAUGAUUCCAAAAUUCAUACGGAGCUUGGCGAUUACGUUACAUCCGAUCAUUGGAACAAUUUAACCAUCUUCCACAAUAGUUCAUGGGUAUUUGUUAGUUUGGACGAGGAAGUUAAAGUACUCAAGAUACCUGGGGAAAAUUAUAAUAUGAUUAUAGAUCCUGAAAUAUAUAUCGGUGGUGGACCAGAGCUUCAUAAGAAAAAGGGUUUGGUGUCGUAUAACAAUUUUGUAGGAUCAUUGAAAUACGUAUUCUUUAACGACAAGUCGAUCAUCUAUGAAUUGAAACGAUCUAAUCCUAUGGUUCAUUAUAUCGGCGUGCUAGAACCGGAGUAUUACGAGGCCGACGUUGAGGUCAUUCCUAUUACGUACCCUUUCGCAGGAAGUCAUAUUUGGUGGCCUAUUGAGAAAACGGAUUCUCUUAAGUUAAACUUUGAUUUUAAAAGUUCCAAACCAAUUGCAGUUAUUGCAUCGGGAGAAGUCCAUAGUGAACAGGGACUUGGUUAUUGGGAGCUUCGCUUGGUUAACGACGAAAUACGUUUUCAAUUGAUACCUGCCUUAAUAGAAAAUAUUACAGUAUCAACUGCUGUCAAAUUUCCACCUUACAACACUUCCUGGCACGCUGUUGAACUAAAUUAUACAAAAGGCGAGUUAAACAUUCUAGUCGAUUAUAGAAAUAAACAGACCAAGCAACUUUCUUCUAUGAUUUUUGAAUUGGAUAACAAGGUAAUCAUUGGAAGUGGCAAAAGUAAUGCUGGUUUAGUAGGUUGCAUGCGAGAUAUUCAAGUAAAUGGACAAAACAUUGAACCUAGAUACAUUAUAAAUACUGAAAGAGUUGUCGGUGAAGUAGCAUUGGAUAAUUGCCAAUUCGUUGACCCAUGUAAAAGACCAAAUACUUGUGAACACGGUGGUAAAUGUUCUGUAAAAGAAGAUCGAAUUACUUGUGAUUGUACGGACACCGGUUAUAUUGGAAAAAAUUGCCAUUUUGCACAAUAUAGAAAAACCUGUGAAGAAUUAGCAUUGUUAGACAACACACAAGAUGGCGUUUACAGAAUCGACAUUGAUGGCAAUGGAAGAUUUCCACCUGCAGUAGUAAAAUGUGAAUUUCAAUCUAUCGAAGAUUCAACCAAGACAAUCGUUGAACAUAAUUUGCCAUCUCAAGUAGACGUUAGAUCCUUCUCUCAAUUUGAUUUUUCCUAUAGUAUUACGUAUAGACAAUUUACUGCAGAAAUGCUUCAAGAACUGAUCUCUCAUUCGCUUUAUUGUAAACAAUAUGUGAAGUAUGAUUGUUACAAAGCACCAUUGGAACUUCAUAGUGCAACCUGGUUUCUUGGUUCAAAAGGAACAACAGUUGAUUUUAUUGGAAAUGUUAAUAGAGGCUCUUGUCCAUGUAGCGAAAACAGAACUUGUGUGGACGAAAAUAUGAGUUGUAACUGUGACGUGUCGUCUGGAAAUGCAGGAAAAUGGCUAUCCGAUGAAGGUUAUUACAAGACACCUGAUUCAUUAGGUAUCACUGGUAUGGUCUUUUUACAACAAAAAGAUCUGGAAGAAGAUGCUCAAGGCCGUAUAACUUUAGGUCCAUUGGAAUGUGUCGAGACAAACACACAGAAAUAUGUCGUUACUUUUACAACCUCCCAAUCCUAUAUUGAAGUGCCAGGUUGGCGAAAAGGGGACAUAGCUUUUAGCUUUCGUACAACAGGAGAGAGAGCUAUCCUUCUUUAUCAACCACCAAUCAGAAGUAAUUAUCCAUCGUUCAUGGUAGCACUGACAUCAGAAUAUCGGCUUACUUUUAACUUUACUCUCAACACUGGAACCGUUCAAGAAUUGGAAAUAAAAAGUGGGCGGAAAUUGAAUAACGGAGAAUGGCAAAAAAUUUGGAUCGAUUAUAAUGAUUAUCAUGUUAGAUUUAUGAUUAACACUGAUUAUCAAAUGGUGAAUUUAACGUCUGAAGAAGAGUUUGGUCCGUUCGAGGGUUCUAUGUUUAUCGGUGGUGCUACAGCAGAACAUUUGAAGACUUCAUCGGUCAGUGAAGGAUUAAUUGGAUGUUUCCGAGGUCUUGUUGUAAAUGGUGAAAUCUUAGAUAUCCAUAGCUAUAUGUCGGUACAUCUUUCGGAGAUUAUAAAAGAUUGCAAACCUUCUUGUCAGCCUAACAAGUGUCAAAACGGUGCAAAAUGUGUCGAAGAAUGGAGUAAAUUUAAAUGUGUUUGCAAAAAUAAAUGGGCUCAUCAGGGAAUUUUUUGUGAAACAAACAUCAAUAAUAAAGCUUUGACGUUUACUUCGUCGGGUGCUUUUCUAAAAAAAAAUUAUUUUGGCUCGGACGACGAUGGAGAAAAAAUAUUAUUGAAGAGCAUGUUCGAACAUAGCAUAUUAAUUAAUCUGAGAACUUAUGAUACUCAUUCAUUGAUACUUUAUGCUAACGAUCAUUUAAACAAUUUUAUACAUCUUUACAUUUCGAAUGGCACCAAUAUCGUGUAUCUCUUCAAUGCUGGUAAUGAAAUCAAAAAUAUUACUGUACAUCAUCCACAUGCUAACACUGGAAUAUCAAUACAAAUAGCCAUAAUACAUGAAAAUAAAUCUACGAUACUUAUUGUGAAUGAAUGUAACAAAACAUUGAAUGCAACUCCUAUACUCUUAGAUUCUUAUUCUAAUAAACCUUGGAUUAAUCCUGAAAAAGAAGUGUUAGCACCUCAAAGACCGCCCGCACCACCAACAGAUUACUUUCAAAUGAAUUUGGGAGGUUUCGAUCCAGACGAUCUUCUAAGAGUCGGAAAAGAAGGUAAUCUUACUCAAGGAUACGUAGGAUGUCUUCGAGGAUUAAUGAUCGGCAAGUAUCACGUGGAUUUACCAAACUUAGCCAACGAAGCCAAUCACGAAGGUAGCAAAGGUGUCCUUCCAAAUUGUCAAAUGAAAUGUGACGCUAUGCCUUGCAAGAACAUGGGUAUAUGUACAGAAGACUUUGGAAGGCAAGAAUCAUCUUGCAAUUGUGACUUAACAUCAUAUUUUGGUGAACACUGUGAAGAUGAGAAAGGUGCCGAUUUCAGUGGUGAUAGUGUACUUCAACGUGAAUUCGACCUAGAAGGAGAAGUGAAGCAAGUGAAAGUACAACUAGCAUUUUCAACGAAUGAACUGCGGCAGCGUACAACGGCAUUGUUGCUCUUGCAAACAGAAAACAAAAGAAGCUAUUAUCUACUCGUGGCCUUAACAUCGGAGGGACAGCUGAUCUUCGAAGAGGAUGUCGAAGGCUCGGUUUAUGGUGUACGUCUCAACGAUAGAAACUUCUUGAAUGGAGCUAGGCAUAGCAUUUAUUAUAUACGAGAAAAUAGCACAGCCACGCUUUUGAUCGAUCGUCAAGAAGUAAGCCUUAUACCAAUCCCGGCAAUCAAUACAGGCAAUCAAGGUGAUGACUAUGAUCCAGGUUCGACUGAGAUUCAACUUGGUGGACUGAAUACUACAGAUCUUCGUUUUUCUGCUUAUAAAGGAUACACUGGUUGCCUAAGCAACGUUGUUAUCUCGAUUAAUGGUGGACCUAUAAUGAAACCACUAGAAGAGUACAUGUUAUUUACAAAACAAGGCAGUGAAACAGUCAGAGCAACUAGCCCAGGUGGUGUUAGGAGUGCACAAUGUGCUGUAUUUCAUGCACAACCUCGGGGUAUCGAGUCUCAAAGAAAUGACAGUGUUGGACGUGAUCGAGCAUGGGACGGAGAUCCCCCAGAAAGGAUUCUCUACAAAUCUCAAUACUCUGACGCUACUAAAGAAGAACAAGGUGCAGGAACCUACGUUUUCAUAGCUCUUGUUUGUCUAUUCGUCGCUGCCGUGAUAGGAUGUAUUUAUGAAGUAUGGCGAAGUGCAAGAAAGGAUAGAAGACGUCGACGAAGUGCAGCAGCUGCAGCUAGCAAAUCACCGAGUCCUUCGGGAUCACAAAGAUGGCAACCUCAACAGUACACAGAUUCCUUAGUAACAACGACUGGUAUUAAAACUAUUGGAUUUAAAAUUACUGAUGAUGAGAAAAGGCCAAAUGGUACUCAUGUUAAAGCUACAGCUAAAGAAUACAAACCAAUCCCUAAUACCGAGCCCAAGGAAUUGAUGAAUGAUAAAAAGGUUCACAUAAAAGCAGACGAGGAACCAGAGAAAAAGGAGCUGCUAGGGGUAAAUACUGGCAUCGUCAAUAAACCUCCGAAACCAAACCCAUUUUCAAUGGAGGAUCUAAGAGAAGAACCAGAAUUAGAAGAAUGCGAAGAAGAGGAAGAUGAGAAUGACGAGAAAACUGAUUUGAUGGAAGAGGAUGAUCAAGAAGAACAAGAUGGAGAUAAAGGAAACAAUGCUGCUGCUGCUGCUGAUGAUGAUGAUGAUGAUGAAGAAGAUGAAGAAGAAGAAGGAGAUAACGAAGACGGCCAGGAGGACGAGGUCCUCUUGAAGUCGCCGAGGAGUAGUUCGUCCAGCACGAACGUCGAUGAAAAUAUUGUCGAUGAAAACGUUGUCGAACCACCGAAUACUAUUCUCGAAACCAACCAUACAAAUUCUACGUGCGAACUUUAGAGGCUAGCACGAGCAAUGACACUGGACAACGUUCGAAAGCUCCUGAACGUUCAUCGACAUCUACAGAUACCAGAAAACCCUUGGUUCUGAGCAUGAACCCUAUCUAUUUGUCAGAAGAUUGUCGAACUUUCGGCAAUCCUCUGAGCUAUCUAGGAGGUCCAAGACUACAACCAAGGAAUAGAAACUCGAUAGAGUCCGUUCUUUCCUUGGACUAAAUACUUCCGUCUCCUAUCUCUCUUCGAGAUAAUCAUACAAAAUACAAAAUAUUAAAAUUAAUACGAAUGUGUGAGAAGAUUUUCUUUUCUCUUUUUUUCCCUUCUUUUCUCAACGAAUAUUAGCAAAAUUCGUUUGAGAAGACAUUUGAAAAAGUGAAUAAAAUAUGUGUUCUAUUUGUCUUCGCAAAUAAAAAUAAAAUAUAAUAAUUUAAAUAAAAGAUAUAUAUAAGAAGAAGAUUAAAAGAAGAAAAUGCAAAAGUAAAAUCAUGGAGUUUAGUAGAAUACGUAUGUAUGAAAUAUAUCUGUAUAUUAUAACAAAAUCGUCAUCUUAACCUAGUCAAGGUUUCCUUUGAUUUCCUCUAUAUGUGUUAUACAUCUAAUAUACAGUGUUGUUUCUCAUAAAACUCACAGAUAAGCUCGUCAAAUUGAAAUGGACGAUAAUGAUUCAGAGCAAAACCUGUGACAAGCGAAAACAAUGCGAUAAUUAAGGAGGAAAAUGUAUGCUUGUGUGAAUAUGAAGUUAAUUGUAAAUGUGAGAGAAGAAGACACAUAAUUGUUAUAUUAAUUUCUUCUUUCUUAUAGUUUAAACAGGAUAUUAUUCAAAUAAGAUGUUCUUUUUUCUCAUUUCUACAAUCGUCGUAGUAAAUUGUUAAAAAAUUAAAAAUUAAAGACAAAAAUUAAAGAAACAAAAUCAAAAAAUUGUACAAUAAAAAUAAUUAAUAAUAUUAAUUAUUAAGAAUAAAAGAAGAAGUAGUAAAUGUAUAACAAAUACAGUGAUAUAAUGUACG